UACGUAGGGUGCAAGCGUUGUCCGGAAUUAUUGGGCGUAAAGAGCUCGUAGGCGGUUUGUCGCGUCGGCCGUGAAAACUUGGGGCUUAACCCCAAGCCUGCGGUCGAUACGGGCAGGCUUGAGUUCGGCAGGGGAGACUGGAAUUCCUGGUGUAGCGGUGAAAUGCGCAGAUAUCAGGAGGAACACCGGUGGCGAAGGCGGGUCUCUGGGCCGAUACUGACGCUGAGGAGCGAAAGCGUGGGGAGCGAACAGG
rnacentral:rRNA from 1 species